rnacentral:tRNA from 1 species
GACGGUAUAGCUCGGGGUAGAGCACAUGCUUAGCAUUACAAGGUCCUGGGUUCAAUCCCCAGUACCUCCA